AGGAUAAUGAUGAGCAUGCCGAAAUCA
rnacentral:sRNA from 1 species